AGAGUUUGAUCCUGGCUCAGAUUGAACGCUGGCGGCAUGCCUUACACAUGCAAGUCGAACGGCAGCGCGGGGCAACCUGGCGGCGAGUGGCGAACGGGUGAGUAAUAUGUCGGAACGUACCCUGGAGUGGGGGAUAACGUAGCGAAAGUUACGCUAAUACCGCAUACGAUCUAAGGAUGAAAGUGGGGGAUCGCAAGACCUCAUGCUCCUGGAGCGGCCGAUAUCUGAUUAGCUAGUUGGCGGGGUAAAAGCCCACCAAGGCAACGAUCAGUAGCUGGUCUGAGAGGACGACCAGCCACACUGGAACUGAGACACGGUCCAGACUCCUACGGGAGGCAGCAGUGGGGAAUUUUGGACAAUGGGCGCAAGCCUGAUCCAGCAAUGCCGCGUGAGUGAAGAAGGCCUUCGGGUUGUAAAGCUCUUUU
rnacentral:rRNA from 1 species